CCACUCAUGUUCUCAUGCAAUGAACAACACAUCGCGGAGCUGAGGGGAGACUGACAACGCGCUGACAGACAGGACACACCAGGCAUUGGUCAUAUCUGGUGACGCUCACCAUUGGAUUGGAAGUCUUGUCCAUCUAGCAGCUUGCUAACGCAUCUUUAAAAUAGAGCCAGUAAACCCAGUUCUUGAACCGUAUAACAAACCCAAACCUUGAACCAAUAUAACAAACCCAAAUCUUGAACCAAAAUAACAAACCCAAACUUUGAACCCAAUAACCAAUUGAUUUACAGUGCCAGACAGCCUGAAAGAGGGACCAGCUCCAGUCUGCUCUUCCUGAUCUCCAGUCUGCCCUGCUCUUCCUGAUCUGAGGACUGCAUUGGAAGAUCAUCAUCCAAGCACACACACACACACACAGUCAUUUGUUUGAUAACCAACUGUUUAACUUCAUAUUACAUAGUGUUUUUCAUUUUCUAUAGUCUUAUCAAUUAUUCAACUUUAUUUAGCGUUUGUUUAAUUGACUGCUUUGAAUCAGCUCUUAUCAAUAAAUCCCAGUUUCUGUUCAGUAAGUUCAGUCUUGGAACAUCUAUAUUGUAUAGUUGAUUUCACAAUUGUAAUUCUAUACACCAGUCUAAUAUUGUUUGGUGAUAUUGGUGGUUAGCAUUUUACAACCCUAAGUUACAGUUUUAUACUUUUAUCCUAACCCUUCCUGAUCUCCAGUCUUCCCAGCUGCUCUUCCUGAUCUCCAGCUGCUCUUCCUGAUCUCCAGUCUUCCCAGUCUGCCCUGCUGAUCUGAGGACUGCGUUGGAAGAUCAUCCUCCAAGCACACACACACAGUCACUUUAUUUAGCUGUUGUUUAGUUUUUGUGAUUGCUUUUAUUCGGCUCUUAUUAAUAAAGUCCAGUUUCUGUUUAGUAAGUUCAGUCUUGUAACAUCUAUAUUGUAUAGUUGAUUUCACAAUCUUUGGGUGUAUUUUUAUAAAACAGUUUAAUAUUGUUUGGUGAUAUCAGUGGUUAGCAUUUUACAACUUUCUCAUUUUAUGAGUAACCUUUAACCUAAGUUACAGUUUAACA